rnacentral:rRNA from 1 species
ACGUAAGGGGCAAGCGUUAUCCGGAUUUACUGGGUGUAAAGGGAGCGUAGACGGUUUCGUAAGUCAGAUGUGAAAACCCAGGGCUCAACCCUGGGACUGCAUUUGAAACUACGGAACUAGAGUGUUGGAGAGGCAAGUGGAAUUCCUAGUGUAGCGGUGAAAUGCGUAGAUAUUAGGAGGAACACCAGUGGCGAAGGCGGCUUGCUGGACAACAACUGACGUUGAGGCUCGAAAGCGUGGGGAGCAAACAG